GAUGAACGCUGGCGGCGUGCCUAAUACAUGCAAGUCGAGCGAACGGACGAGAAGCUUGCUUCUCUGAUGUUAGCGGCGGACGGGUGAGUAACACGUGGAUAACCUACCUAUAAGACUGGGAUAACUUCGAGAAACCGGAGCUAAUACCGGAUAAUAUUUUGAACCGCAUGGUUCAAAAGUGAAAGACGGUCUUGCUGUCUCUUAUAGAUGCAUCCGCGCUGCAUUAGCUAGUUGGUAAGGUAACGGCUUACCAAGGCAACGAUGCAUAGCCGACCGUAGAGGGUGAUCGGCCACAUUGGAACUGAGACACGGUCCAGACUACUACGGGAGGCAGCAGUAGGGAAUCUUCCGCAAUGGGCGAAAGCCUGACGGAGCAACGCCGCGUGAGUGAUGAAGGUCUUCGGAUCGUAAAACUCUGUUAUUAGGGAAGAACAUAUGUGUAAGUAACUGUGCACAUCUUGACGGUACCUAAUCAGAAAGCCACGGCUAACUACGUG
rnacentral:rRNA from 1 species